rnacentral:rRNA from 1 species
AGUGAACGCUGGCGGUAGGCCUAACACAUGCAAGUCGAACGGCAGCACAGUAAUAGCUUGCUCUUACGGGUGGCGAGUGGCGUACGGUUGAGGUAUACAUCGGAAUCUACUUUUUCGUGUGUGUUAACGUAGGGAAACUUACGCUGAUACCGCAUACGACCUACGGGUGUAAUCAUGGGAUCUUCGGACCUUGCGCGUUUGUAUGAGCCGAUGUCGGAUUAGCUAGUUGGCUGGGUAAAGGCCCACGAAGGCGACGAUCCGUAGCUGGUCUGAGAGGAUGAUCAGCCACACUGGAACUGAGACACGGUCCAGAGACCUACGGGAGGAAGUAGUGGGGAAUAUUGGACAAUGGGGGCAAGCGUGAUACAGGAAAAGCGAGUGGGUGAAGAAGGACUUCGGGUUGUAAAGCCGGUUUGUUGGGAAAGAAAAGCAGCAGGUUAAAACGAAGAUGUUGUGACGGUAACAAAAGAAAAAGCACCGGCUAACUUCGUG